AGUGUCAAAACACGAAAUUUGGCCCCACCGAGCCGCCGCCCCGGCCUCACCACCGUGCCAUCGCCCAGGCCACCCGGCCUCACCACCGCGCCGCCGCCCAGGCCACCCGACCACGCACCGCGCUGCCGCCCUGGCCAUGCGGCCCCCAUCGCACCGCCACCCCGGCCACCCGACCCCCCAUCGCGCUGCCGCCCCGGCAACCGGAUCCCUACUGCGUGUUGCUGCCCCGGCCACCCGGCUCAGCGUCGCUCCACGUUUGGCUCCCAAGCCCCCGCCGUCGCGCGGGAUUCUGGCCCCCCGCUGGAUCCCCACCGACAAUGGCCUGAGCCGCACUGCCUAGUUAUCUCCUUCGUGAUCCAGGAGGUUCUGCUGCAGUCCUACUCCGACAUCCGCCGCGGGCCGCUACUACAGCAAAUAUCCGAGUUUUCUUGUUGAUUUAUGAGGGAUACCACAAGUUCUAUUUUUACAGAAGUUGAACUACAAGAUAUGAAGUUCGAUGGAUGUGGAGGUUCUUUUGACCUUGAACUUCAUAAGAGUUCAGCUUUUACUUGAUUUUCAGUUCAAAAUUUGCAUUCUUUUCAGUACAUCAACUUUAAUGUGCAGAACAUCAAGGAAACCUUGAAAAUAUAUAUGUGCACUCUAUGUCUUUUUCUUAUGCUUACCAGUAUUCUGCACUCAUACUGUUAUGCAUAAGUUCAGGUUGCGUGUGGAGUUUCAGAUAUAUGCAAUUGAAUUAGAGCACCAUGCUCUCACCCAUGUAAUUUGCAGGGAAAACAUAAUAAGUUCUAAGAAAAUAAAUAUAGAAGUUCAUAUUUCGAAACAAAUGAAGUAUUUGGGAAAUAAAAUGAAGUAUUUCAAAGUACAAAACUUCUAUUUAGGUUUCUUUUGGGUACUUCUAAUGUUACUGUGCAUGAACUUGUCGGUAUUUUUACAUGUUUUACAUGAUUGUGGUCAUUUCGACCUUGACAAAUUUCAUUUGCUUUUUUACGUUCAUCUUACAGGUCGAAGGAGCUCCCUUCAGUUCAAUGGAUUCAACAAAAUAAUCCAUGUUGCCUACUAGAACUUGCGUGUGUGCUGUGGCGUGUGUGCUGGUCCAUGCCUGGUGCCUGAUGUGGGGUGCGAGCAUGUACACAAAUUGAACUGAAUGAUCUCCAGUAAGUGAACUCAAUGAUCUCCUGUAUCUGAACGACAGGGGAGUUGCAUCAUGUACAAAAAAAUGGCAGGAUCUUGAGGUGUUGCUGCUACUUCUUUCUUCUCAUGCCCUACUAUUCCUCCAUUCGAUUCCAUGCUACUUAUAGGAGAAUAGUUGAUGGUCUAUAGGUGCUUGUUGAAAUGCUUAUGAGAACCAAUUUUUGUUGUUUGGUAUUUGGUAUAAUAGGGCAAUAGUUACAGAUGACAUAUAAGCUGAUGUUGUUUGGUAUUCAAACAGAUCAGUUCAAUAGUUAUAGUUUCAGUUUAAUUUAGGUUAGUUCAAUUACAAGCUGAUGUUUAGUUCCUAAUGUAGUAUUUUUGAGGCCAUCCUAUAGUAUUUCCUCUCAAUUUUGUUAGCAGAUGUGAUGCGUAGAACAUCAUCUCCACACACCCUCUAUUCAUGCACAUUACAGGCUUCUCCGGCCACCGCGCCACCUGGAUCCAACGAGGCUACGUCACACCGGCCCCGGAUCCGCCCACUUCCAAUGAGGCUGCGUCACUCGCUGGCGCACCUCUGCUUCGCCGUGGGCAGUGGAUGCUCCUCCGCAGGUCAACCUCCUGGUAGAGGGUAGUUCGAUUCUCCCUGUCGCGCUACGUUCAGCGCUCCCUCGAGCUCCACAAGAACUUCUUUCCUGCUGCGUCUGCACCUCUAAAAAGUUCACACUCUCGAAGGAGGGAUCAUUGUUUCUUAUUGGAGAAGGCAUGGUGUUUAGUUGGUGUCUGUGUGGUACCUACAACGGCAUUUUCCAUCAAGACCUCCAGAAAAGAGAUAUCAUCUCAAGUCUGGUGGUUCAGAUAUCCAGUUCAACAUCUGGUGGUUCUUCAGUUCAUCGUAGUGUGCAUUUUCACUUCAUCUUGCAGGUAUGAAUUCUCUGCCCCUGCUAAUGUAUUUUGUAGUAACUUUGUAAACAAAAGAGAUAGCACACUGGAACAAAACAGAAGUGAAGAAGAUACCCUAUGUUAAUUUUGGUCACUCUAUUGUUCGUUCCAUCACUUGGAGAUGUAUGCCUGACCAUUUUUUCUCAAAUUUGGCAUUUGUCAAGUUGUGAGGCUACCCAUUCGGGUGUUCAUUUCAUUGGUUAAAUGUUGAAUUUAGGCUAUGAGAUUGGUAAGACCAUAAUCCAUGGACCAGUCUUCAAUUGUUAUCCUGUAGUUCAUUUCGGUCUUGAGGGGAUUUGUGUCCAGAAUGGGGGUUUUGAUUGCUGCUGGUUGAACCUACUGAUGACACAUGUUUUGAUUUCUCCUGGUUAUGUAUCUCAUUGUGGUUCACAGGUAGAAGAUGGGAUAUUCAGAGCUAACUUUGUUGUUUUGGUUUGUGGCACUUAGAUGGUUUUGAAAAUGUUUUGCACAUGUUUUUUUCCCGUGGAUCGAGCACCUGUUCCUCGUCGACCUGCAGCAGCAGGAGACACGAGGUCACCUCCGGCGUCGCUGGUCACGUGAAAGCCAUCAAAAAUGGCACUCCAUAAAAAAUAGGUUUACUUUUUCAUCCGUCCCUCUGAUUGUUUUGGAGAACAAAGAUGGGAGCAACCUGCAAUUUGUGCUGCAUGGUCACUAAAAAAGUUUGGAUCCUGACCAGAUUAUUCUCAAGAGAAAUUGUUUUGACUUGGUUAAAAUGGUCUUUUAUGCUAUCGCUCCUAUGGUGGGUCUGUCUAACAGAAGUUGGAGCAGUCAAGCCCAGCCAUGGCGUGCGUCCGCAGACGACGAUGAUGGCUUCGUUUGUGUGCCUGCGUGUGCUCAUAUGUUGUACUGGUAUGGGGUGUUUUUUUCUGAUUCUAAUUGACGUUUUCACUUGGAUGUUUCUCUGAGACGCUCAAGUAUCACUGUCCAAAAGCUGCAGUUAUGAACUCACCCAUGGGUUCAGGUUACUCGCGCUGCUGGUCCUUAGUGCUAGUUGGAAUGAUUGUGAGCUUGUGAUCUCUCCGGAAAACGAGUAUUUCUUGCUCUUUCAGUUCUGUUUAUUGUCACGGUGACUA